UCUCUCAGGGGCUUGGGCUGCAGGAC
rnacentral:piRNA from 1 species